CUCUUAUCUCUCUCUUUCUCUCUCUGAAAUUUUCGAAUGUAUUUGUUUGUUGCAUAUGAAUUUAUACCGUCAUCUACGCGAUUUCUGCUUUUCAUCAAAAUGUGAAGUUUCAGCUGUACCGUUGUUUGCCUUUCUGCAUUUCAUCAACAUCUAUUAUUAGGGAAUUUUCUUGUUAUUUUUCACUUUUGCAGCCAGAAAAGGAAAGAAAGAAAGAAGCUUUAGGUUUUUGCAUUAUUGUAUAUUUCCAAUUGAAUUGAGGGCGAGGAAGGAUCGUAUGGAGAAGCAAUUAAUAGUAGUGUGUUAGGUGCUCUGUUGGUGUACACAAGCUUGUAAUGAGUGCUUACAUUUGGUCCUAAUGCUAUGUCCUCUGCCACAUCAAUUGGUGUCUAAAACUCAGAAAACCUUUUGUUGUCUUUAGUGUCAUUGUGAAGGACCAAAUACACUGAGUGUGGUUUAUUAUAUCAUACAUAUAGGUUUUAUAAAAGAAGCAAAUAGCAGGUACCAGCCAAUCGUAGGGAUAACAUUAUGGCUAAUACCUUGUUUUAAUAAUGAAAAUUCUCAUUUCAAGUGAAGAAUGAGGGAAAUUGACAUUUUGAGGACCUGUGUAAAGUAAAAGUCGUUAUGAUAUGGGAGAUUUAGAGUUGGGAUUGAUAACGGUUAGGAAAUAAAGUUAUAAACCUCCAGACUCGGCAUAAACAUUAUGGGAACAUCAGCCUCUGGAUCACAUUUUCCCGAACUUGUUUAUAUGGGUUUCUUAUAAAUUUGGAAGUGGGGGCUGUUGUAGUCAUUCUAGCGGAAGAGCUUUUUCAGCAACUAUGUUCAGAAAUAAUACUUAUGUCUUGAAAAAUAUCUUCUCUAUGUUUGUCUUCUGUAAAUUUACACUACUUUUGCGCUUCGCUGGACCAAGUAAUAACAAAAUCAGCAAGAAUUUUUUCAAUGCUAAGUGAUGAGGGGUGUGUAACCAGACAAGAUACUUAUAAUUUAAGUGUGUCUACCUGCAUCAGAUUGGUAAUUAUUUAUGUUAUAUAGCCCAAGUAUGUGAUUGGGAAAUAGAAGCAGAGCUCUUAAUUUAUACCUCAAGUCAAUAAAUGUGAAAAUUUCUCAGCCUAUAUAUUUCUUGAAUAAAGAAGUGUAAUAAGUGUGAAUUUAUUUUUUUUCUUUUGUGGACAAAAGUGUGAAUUGAUGAGUGUGCUGUUGUUGUUUGGAAGAGUUGAGAAAAGAAUAGGAUAAAGCUUAUAUAAGGGAAACCACAGUUCUAAUCUUUCUUGGACAUUGGAUACGCUGACCUGUGAGUUGAAUAGGGGCCAGAGGCCCAACAACAAAAGAACUAACUCACAGUACUUCUGGGCCUUGGGACUCUAACCUGGUCUUCUCUUAGUAAGUGACCAAUAAUAGAGGGAGUGGGAGUGAGAACAUUCAAGAUAGUGCAGCCCAAUUCUAGCUCCAAUCCAUAGUUAGCAGUCCAUCAGCAGCUGCAUUUUUCUACCUGUAAAUGCAAGCCACUCCAGUUUAUAUUAACCGGGUACUAAAUGUAUUCAGCAAUUACAAACAAGCACAGUAAAGGUCAGGAGGGUUUGUUUGUUGCUGGAACAGGGAAUAAUUAGAAUCAUAUUAUAUCAAUUUCUAUUAGUUGUUAGGUGCAGCUUACAAGAUCUCACUGGUAUUUUGAUGGUUCUAACUUCUACUUAUGUGGUUGAUUCCGUAUUCUUUUUAUUAACAAUUUUUGGCUUUAGAAAGAUGAUGGUGGAGGAUGGUUUGGAUGCUCAAUAUAGUAAUAUCACGUCUCUAUGGGAAAUGGAAAUCAUCUAGUUUUUCUAUUCAACUGCAAAUAAUGUUACUAUAUAAUUCUUUUUUACUACAUAAUUACUGUCCCAACUCUACUCUUUCAAAGAAAAUUCUUUUUCAUCUUUAACUCGAAAGUCCUGAGUCAUCUACUCAAGUUUACUGUGCGUGGCUAUCAACUUUCGUUAUCUGUUAUGUUGUUAUCAUUUAAACAUGUCGACAUAGUUCACUAUUUCUGCGUCACUGUUUCUGUGAGUCCGCUGAGAGAGAGAGAGAGAGAGAGAGAGAGAUGUCCACAAAUAGUUGAUCAUCAACUACCGAAAGUAGACCAUAUUUCUAGUUCACAGCAUAAGAUCACUAGAGAAAUAGACUUUUCCCCAUCCAUAAGCCGAAAGAAAGAGUGACAAAGAAGGGUUUCACUUCUCCUAAGCAAGUUUCUAAUGUGGACAUGUAAACCCUUAUACGAAUUUCAUAUCACUUUGACUUAUUUAAGUAGAAAAACCGGGAUAGUUGAUAACUGAUAUAUUACAUUGUUGAGUGUGUCAUAUCUCUAUGGUCAUGACAUUUGAAUAUUUUUCCUUCACUGGACUUGCACUGAGUUUUUCAUUACAUUUACCAUAUACAUAAACUUGUUUUCAGUAGUAUUUGUGCCCCAGACUCUACUGAUUGCUGAUGAUGUUUACAAAAGUUACAUUAUUGUUGUUGCUAGCGACAUGGAUGAAGACUGAUGAUUUUGUGGUCCGAGAAAUUGGUAAGGUCUCAUAGGUUCACUCGUCUGGAUAAGCAGAAAAAGAACGUGCACACUUGCACAGCACACAAUCAAGUUGAGGCUGUUCUUGCACCAAUUCAGCCACGAUGACUCAUGACAGUAAUUUCACUUUUUAAUUCAAUAUAUAAUUGUGUUUUUUACAGGGAAAGUGUGCAUGAAAACAAGGUUGGUUUAUACUUAAUUAAAUACUAGUGUGAUAGAGAAAGUGAAAGCAUGUUUGAUUAAGGAAGGGAUGUGGAUGGCUUUGGCAGUGGGGAAAAUAAAAAUAAAAAUAAGAGAUGAUAGUUGGGCAAGUAGGGCUUGAUUGGUUUCCAGCAAGAAGAAGAAAAAGAAAGGUAGGGUUGAUUGGUGGUGGUCACCCACCCGCCUAUGUUUUAGCCCAUACAUGAUUGAAGGGAAGCUAAAAAUUUUGCCAAAAGCUGGUUCAUGUCUCACGAGAGCAUCUCUGUUGUCUAAGCCAAAAUCCCUCACUCCUAGGAGAGGCUUCUUCAUGACAAAAGCACUUUUCCCCACUUAUACUGAAAAGUAGUUUGAUCAUUAUACUUUCCAAUCUUGCUUCCAUGGGCUGUGUUGUUUUUAGGGCUUCAAAAUUGAAAGCCCCUAGGUUUUGUUUAAGUGCUUUUUACAACUUUUUAUCUCUCUUUGUGGCAGUAGGUACAAGAAUGAAAUCAAUAUUGUGUUUGACGAGUGCUUAGCACGUGCAUCAUGAAUUAUAAUGAUGAGUUGAAGAUGAACAUGAUGAUGACUGUGUUUCGAAUGGGGAUGUGAUCAAACCUAGAUGUGCCAAUGUAUCUUUCAUCUGUCGUUUUAUUUUAAUGUAUCAGUAAUAAUAGCUAGAAGAGAAUUUUAAGAUAUGUACAUGUAUUUGCGACAUGGGAAGGAAUGAAUCAAAAUAAUUCCAAUCGUUUUUGAA